rnacentral:rRNA from 1 species
CGCUCACUAUAGGGCCAGCAGCCGCGGUAAUACGAGGGGUGCAAGCGUUAUUCGGAAUUAUUGGGCGUAAAGGGUGCGUAGACGGUCUAUUAAGUCAAUUGUUAAAUCCUUCGGCCUAACCGAAGAUCAGCGGUAGAUACUGGUAGACUAGAGGGUGGAAGAGAGAAGUGGAAUUCUCGGAGUAGCGGUAAAAUGCGUAGAUCUCGAGAGGAACACCGAUGGCGAAGGCAGCUUCUUGGUCCAUCCCUGACGUUGAGGCACGAAAGCGUGGGUAGCAAACAGGAUUAGAUACCCUGGUAGUCCACGCCGUAAACGAUGAUCACUAGACGUUAGCUCUGUUUUACAGGGUUAGUGUCGUAGCUAACGCGUUAAGUGAUCCGCCUGGGGAGUACGAUCGCAAGAUUAAAACUCAAAGGAAUUGACGGGGGCCCGCACAAGCGGUGGAACAUGUGGUUUAAUUCGUCGAUACGCGAGAAACCUUACCUAGGCUUGACAUGCCUUUGACCGCUAUAGAAACAUAGCUCUCCAAACUUCGGUUUGGACAAUUGCACAGGUGCUGCAUGGCUGUCGUCAGCUCGUGUCGUGAGAUGUUGGGUUAAGUCCUUUAACGAGCGCAACCCUUGCCAUCAGUUGCUACUUGCUUCGGCAAGGCACUCUGGUGGGACUGCCUGGGAAACCAGGAGGAAGGUGGGGACAACGUCAAGUCAUCAUGGCCCUUAUGCCUAGGGCUACACACGUGUUACAAUGGCCAGUACAAAGGGUUGCUAACUUGCAAAAGUAUGCUAAUCCCAAAAAGCUGGUCUAAGUUCGGAUUGAGGUCUGCAACUCGACCUCAUGAAGUUGAAAUCGCUAGUAAUCGCGCAUCAUAACGGCGCGGUGAAUACGUUCUCGGGCCUUGUAC